CAACCCUCAGGCUUCGCCUGGCGUUGGGGACCUGCGCCUCGCAGCCCCCGAAAGACAGCGGCGGUCCCGUCGCGGCACCGAGCGUAGUAACAACCUCGCUACGGGCGUCCGCGCGGCGGCCUGCCGGAAAACCCCAUCUUUUCGU
rnacentral:misc_RNA from 1 species